UGAUUAUUACUUGGCUUUGGCUAAAUUACAUGAACAUAUAUUUGAAUUCAUCAUUUCAUUAGUCAUUUCGGGUGGAAAGUUUGUGAAAAGUGGAGAAAAACAUUUUUGCCGGAUUUUGGGUUAUUAAGCGAGAUUUUGGUAUCAGAUUUGAGUAACUUUUAUAUGGUUGGACUCGAAUUUUGUAACUUUCAUCAAAUUCCGAUACGUAGGCCGGGGGGUUAACUUUUGAGUUGACUUUUUGACUUUUGAUUUAGAACUUAACAUUUUCAUAUGGAAUUGAUUCAUAUAGCUCGUGUUGAUUGUAUCGAUAUGUUUGUGGCUAGAUUCGAGGCAUUCGGAGACCGAUGCACGAGGAAAAGGCUUGUUGGGGUAGAGAUUUCCACGGUCUAAGGUACGUAACAUUACUGAACUUGGUUCUAAGGGUAUGAACCCCUAAACUAUGUGUUAUGUGGUCGAUGUUGAGGUGAUACACAAGCUAGGUGGCGGGCGUGCAUCAUAGGAAUUGUGACCUAGUCGAUUCCGUGGAUAUGUAUAGUUGAAUAAUCUCGUUGUUAUUUGUAUUUUUUCCUUGUUUUAGAGAAAUUGAGCUACGAUUCAUAUUACAAAUCAUACUUAGGCUAUAUGGUGGUAUUGUUGGUAUCCACAAAGGACGUAUUACUGUUAAAUUAUUUGCUUAAUUUGCAAUUAUGUACUCGAUCACAUCUAUCAUCCACAUACCAUUUAUCAGCCUCUGUUGCCAUUUAUUGAUACUUCAUUUCAUCAUUGUUUAGGCUGAUUUUCAUGACAUUAUAAGCCCGAGAGACUGGAGAGAUUGGUGACUGAGUGAAGCAGAUGGCCUGAUUGUGAGGAGAUUUAUGGGAUCGUGCUGCACGUCGCAGCAGGCUUUAUUGAUUCAUGCCAUGAUUGGCUUAUUAUAGCACUUGGGUCGGAUCUGUCCCUUUGGAAUCUGCACGCCCAUAGUGAGCGCAUGUACGUAGCGAGUGCGAGUGCAAGUGUCGAGCGAUCGGAAGGAUUGAGUGACUGCGAGGAUGGAGUGACUAUUAGGAUGGAGUUAAUGAGAGGAUUGAGUGAUUGAUAUUCUGAGAGUAUGCAUAUGAUUUUAUCAAUGUUUUGUAUUUCAGUUGGCAUAUAUGACUGGCAUGUAAAUAUCGAGAAGUAUUAUUAUCUCAUUUCAAUUGUACUUGACAUAUCUUACAUGUUUGAGCUUUAACUGUUAAACUUGAAAGCAUGUCUACAUUUCUUGUACUAUAUCUCUAUAACUGGACUGUACUUGUGAAACUCGUAAUUGCUUUCAGCCCUUCGGACUUGUUAUUUAUUGAGUUGGUUAUACUCAUGCUAUACCAAAUACUUCGUGUGCAGAUCCAUGUGUUUUCGGGCACGAUUGUUGUUGAUUCUUGGCGUUUCAUCAGUCCGGAGAUCAUCGAGUUAGCUGUCUUGGAGUUUGCAGACCUUGACUCUCCAUCCCCUAUUUUUUAGUUUUAUUUAUUUAGUUCUACUUUUUAGACAAUGUAUCAAACUAUGUCAUUAUAUAGAUGCUCAUGUACC
rnacentral:lncRNA from 1 species